rnacentral:tRNA from 1 species
GCCCAUGUGGCUCAGUGGUAGAGCACUCCCUUGGUAAGGGAGCGGCCGUGCGUUCGAUUCGCGCCAUGGGCGCCA